CCUACGGGUGGCAGCAGUGGGGAAUAUUGCACAAUGGCGGCAACGCUGAUCCAGCCACGCCGCGUGGGUGAUGAAGUACUUCUGUAUUUAAAGCCCUAUCAGCAGGGAAGAAAAUGACGGUACCUGACUAAGAAUCCCCGGCCAACUACGUGCCAGCCGCCGCGGUACUACGUAGGGGGCAACCGUUAUCCGGAUUUUCUGGGUGUAAAGGGAGCGUAUACGGCUUGCCAAGUCUGAUGUGAAAAGCCGGGGCUACACCCCGGGAGUGCAUUGGAAACUGGCAUGCUGGAGUGCCGGAGGGGCAAGCGGAAUGCCUGGUGUAGCGGUGAAAUGCGUAGAUAUUAGGCGGAACACCGGUGGCGAAGGCAGCUUGCUGGACGGUAACUGACGUUGAGGCUCGAAAGCGUGGGGAGCAAACAGGAUUAGAUACCCGAGUAGUC
rnacentral:rRNA from 1 species